rnacentral:ncRNA from 1 species
AUGAACUCAGAUGACAGUAUCUGCGUUUGGUAUCUAUUGAUACGUCUAUUCUCAACGGUAACGUUGGGCAUAGAUCCUCUUCUACACGUCGACAAGAUAAAUCUUGUGUUUGCCAGCCUUUAUGGCUGGCUUUUUUCUGU